AUGGCCGCCAGUAUAAAUGUGACUUUCAUCCGGUCGACAUGGCCGUCGUCCGCGUCUGUAGUCGCUGUUCGCGAGUUGUCGUAGUUCGCCACGGAGGUAAAGUUUUGCGGUCACCGUUUUGCCGUUCACCGCCCUCUACAAAUGGUGGCGGAACGCAGUUGAUUCGUCAUCGAUCCACCCCGACUACGGUAUCACGCAGGACGAACUAUAAAAUAGAUCACGCAAACGGAACAACUAUAGUCAGUCGAAACGCGUCCCCGCGGAUAUCAGUUAUAAAAUGACAUAAACGUUUAUAGAUGAUAUUAACAUUGAAAUUUAUCAAUAAUAGAAAAUGACUUCAAGAUUAGAUAGACUGUUCAUAUUAUUAGAAACGGGAAGUAGUUCAGUUACAAGAAAAGCAGCAGCAAAUCAACUGGGACAAGUGGUGAGGCUACAUCCUCAUGAACUUAAACCUUUAUUAGAACGUAUAUCUACAUAUUUACGACAUUCAUCAUGGGAAACUCGUAUAGCAGCUUCACAAGCCAUUGAAGCUGUAAUUAAACAAAUUCCUCAAUGGUGUCCCAGUGGUUUACCUCCUGUUAAAUUAGAACCUUAUAGCGAUUUACAAGUAGAUGAAAAAGAAAAUAAUGGAAAAUUAUGUUUUGAUACAUUUGAUUUAACUGCUAUAAUGAACUGUUCUGCUUUGAUGGCUUCCCCAGAUAUUGAACAAGAUAAUCCAGUAACAUCAGAAAAUGAUGCUGAAAAAAUUAUUAAAGAUCAACAAAAAAUUAUUAACAAAACUUUGGGACUUGAAAUUAUUGGUUCAGAAAUUAUUACUUCAGAUGAUAUAAUGAUUUCAUCAAUUCCUAGUCAACCCAACUUAAAAAGACAAUUGAGUGAUGUAGUAAAAACAGAUACUGAUUUAAAUAAAAGUUCGAGAGAAACUAAUUGUGAUAGACGAAAAGCUCGCCAAAAUGAGCUGAAUAACAAAAUAAUGAGAUCAGUAUCUUUAGAUGGUGGUUAUACUGAAGCUUCAAAUUCAUACAAAAAAAUUAAAUUAAUUGAUAAUAAUGAAGAGAUUGAAAAUGAUUGGCCCUUUAAAGAUUUUAUAAAUACUUUACUUAAAGACUUAUUCAAUACUAAAUGGGAAAUACGUCAUGGUGCUGCAACAGCUAUUCGUGAAAUUAUUAAACACCAUGGUCGAGGUGCUGGAAAAGCUUGUAAUUUACCUUCAGACCAAAUGGAAAACCAUCAUCAAGCAUGGUUAGAAGAUGUGGGACUAAGACUUUUAUGUGUUCUUGCAUUGGACCAUUUUGGAGAUUUUCUUGGUGAUCAAGUAGUAGCUCCUGUUAGAGAAACAUGUGCUCAAGCUUUAGGUUUUGUUGUUAAAUUAAUGUCUGAAGAAAAUGUUUUAAACAUAAUUCAUGUACUUAUACAACUUAUUCAACACUCUGAUUGGACAACCAGACAUGGUGGAUUAUUAGGACUGAAGUAUUUAUUAGUUGUUAGAAAAGAUAUCAUUGAAAAAAUAUUACAGUUAUCUUUUCCAUAUAUAUCUAAAGCUCUUAAGGAUACAGUAGAUGAUGUUAGUGCUGUAGCUGCAUCUGCUUUAUUGCCAAUAGUUGAUUCUAUGAUUAAAUGUGAUGAAAAAUGGGCAUCUGAUGUAAUAUCCAUUUUGUGGCAAAUGUUGGCUGUUCAAGAUGAUUUAACUGCAUCUUGUUAUAACUUCAUGACUUUAUUAGCUGCAUUGUUUAGCCUUCCGUCUGGUAAAUUAUUAACAAACGAACCAAUCAUUCAUGUUUUACCUCGGCUUUGGUCAUUUUUAACACAUAAUGCAACUCAAGUACGAUUAGCAACUAUGAAAUCCUUAAUGACAUUAACUUCAACUCCACAAUUAUCGUAUGCUGAUAAUAUUGAGGAUAUAAAAUUACUUCAAGAUGCUAUGAGGCAUAUUUUUCAGAGAGCAAUGUCUGAACCAGAUAUAGAAAUACAACAAAUUAUAAAAAAAGUUUGGACUAAUUUAAUAAUAAAUAGUAGCCUAACAGCUCUUUUAAAUGCUGCUUGUCCAUACAUAGGAUUGUGGUUGGCAAUGACCAUGCAAUCAGAAAAAAUACCUUUUGAUUCAUCUAGUAUUAUUCAACAUAUUCUAACUGGACCUAAUAAAGUAGAUAAUGUAUCUAGCUUUGCAAGCGAGACAAAUAUAGAUGUCAAAUACUAUAUCGGCGGAAGUGAGGCUAUCCCUGCUGAACAAAGAGAAAAAAAUGCCAUUAGAGCAAGACAUUUAGGUGCAGAAAUGUUAGGUUUAUUAUCUUGUUAUAUUAUAAAACCUGCACCAAAUAUUUGUUAUACAAAUGAAGAUGAAUCACCUGUAACAUGCUAUACAAAAUUAUUAAUCAGUAAUUUAGAAUCUAAUGUAGCUAUGCAACAAAAGAUUACUUCUAUGGUAAUAUCAGAAUGGUGUAAAUUACAAAAAUUAGAUAGUUUAGCUUCAAAAAUAUUAGCUGAAAAAGUAACAGAUUGUAUGAAUCGUAUGAUUUACUAUGAUGAAAUGUCAUUUUCUAUAACAAAGCUUAUACAAGACGCUCACGAUUUUCUUUCAUCAUUGAAACAUUAUAAAUUGACAACUCCACAACAUUUAAACCAGAUUGUAACUUUGGAACACAUUGAACUUCUUACUGGACCAGAAACUGGAAUAUUGAUUUCAUCACAAAAACUCAAACCAAAAAUAUUUGAUCAACUUGAAGAUAGGCGUCUUUCAUUGAAUCAGGCACAUAAGCUUAUACAUUCUGAACUCAUGUCUUUAACUACAUCGACUAAAGCUUCAUUAGCAGGUGCAUUAACAAUGCUUCAAUGUUUACCAGAAAAAAUACGACCUAUUGUUAAACCAUUAAUGGAAUCUAUUAAAAAAGAAUCAAAUGAAAUGUUACAACGCUGGUCAGCUGAUCAUUUAGCUAUUUUGAUGGAUUUAUGUAUUAAUCGUUCUUCAUGUCCUAACACAACUAUAAUAAACAACCUAUGUUCUUUUUUAUGUGUUGAUCCAGAAUUUACACCUAAAAUAGGUACUGAUGAUAGAGUAAAAUAUCAAUUAAUUCUCAUGCAUCAGAAAUUAUUACAAAAUGCAGAAAAAUUAUUAAUGAAACGUACUGGACAGCGAGGAUCGGGAAGACCACCAAUACACUGUGAUAUAAAUGUAGAAAUUGUGUUAAGCGACAAAGAUCAGGAACAAAAACUUAGCAAUAAUAUACAAAAAAGAGGAGCAUCAUAUGCUUUACAAACUAUUUGCUCAUAUUUUAGUGAACAUUUAGAAAGUAAAUUGCCAAGGCUAAUUGAAAUAGUUUAUAACAGCAUAAAAAAUAUACAAUUUCCAAUAAAUGAUCCAAAUAUGAAUACUUUAAAAGAAAAAGAUGAAGAAGCACAAGAAUUAAUAAAAAACUUACAAGUGUUUGAAGUAGUCUGUUCAAAAAUGCACAAAUGUUUUGUUCCAAAGCUUCUGGAGUUAUUGCCAAUUUUUUCCAAACUUCUUGUUCAUCCAUAUUCUGCUGUUAGACAUAUUAGUGCCCGCUGUUUAGCUGCAUCGGUCGAGUUAGGUUCCGUAAUUACAAUGACAACUAUUAUAAAUGAUGUUUUGCCUCUCCUCGAUGCUCCUGACAAUGAUGUUAAACGGAAAGGAGCUAUUGAAGCAGUGGUGUGUAUUGUUGACAAGUUGCAAUUUGACAUUGUUCCUUACAUUGUCUUAUUAAUCAUUCCACUUUUAGGUCGAUUAUGUGAUCAAGAAGAAAGUGUUCGUAAAAUGUCUUCACAGUGUUUUGCUACUCUGAUUCAGUUAAUGCCACUCGAUGGCAGUGUACCUGUUCCUCCAAAUUUAAGUGAUGAAACAAAUAUAUUAAUUCAAUCACAAAGACUAUUUUUAGAUCAACUUUUUAAUCCUAAUCAAAUAAGUGAUUUUAAAGUGCCGAUUAUGAUAAAUGCUAAAUUAAGAUCUUAUCAACAGACAGGAAUAAAUUGGUUAGCUUUUUUAAAUAAGUAUAAAUUACAUGGAAUUUUAUGUGAUGAUAUGGGCUUAGGAAAAACCAUACAAUCACUAUGUAUACUUGCUAGUGAUCAUUACAAUAAAAAUGAAAAGCAUAAGGAAACUGGUAGUCCAGAUUCAGUUCCUUUGCCAUCUAUAGUUGUAUGUCCUCCUACAUUAAUUGGACAUUGGACUCAUGAAGUACAAAAAUUUAUUCCAAAAAACAUAUUGAGACCAUUACAAUACUCUGGAUUACCUGUAGAAAGACAAAAAUUAAGAACUUAUGCAGAUGAUUAUAAUUUAUUUAUAGUGUCUUAUGAUAUUGUACGUAAAGAUAUAGAUUUUUUUUCAAAAAUAAAAUUCAAUUAUUGCAUAUUAGAUGAAUGUCAUAUAAUAAAAAAUGGAAAGACUAAAGCAAGUCAAGCCAUUAAACAAUUAAAAGCAAACCAUCGUUUAGUAUUAUCUGGCACUCCAAUUCAAAAUAGUGUAUUAGAAUUAUGGUCAUUAUUUGAUUUUUUAAUGCCCGGAUUUUUGGGAACAGAAAAACAAUUUGCUGCCAAAUAUAGCAAACCAAUUUUAGCAAGUCGUGAUGCAAAGUGUUCAUCAAAGGAACAAGAAAAUGGUGUUUUAGCAAUGGAAGCUUUGCAUCGUCAAGUUUUACCAUUCGUUCUGCGUAGAAUGAAAGAAGAUGUUUUAAGUGAUUUACCAGCUAAAAUUACUCAGGAUUACUAUUGUGAUUUGAGUCCUAUUCAACAACAACUUUAUGAAGAUUUUUCAAAAACACAUAUACACAAACAUUUAUCAGAUACUGAAACUGAUAAAAAAUCUCAUCCUCCUAAUAAAAAUAAUAUUCUUCAAGCACUGCGUUAUUUACAAAAUGUAUGUAAUCAUCCAAAAUUAGUGCUUACUCCACAACAUCCUCAGUAUUCUAAUAUAACUAAACAAAUUUUAGAAUCUAAUUCUAGUCUAACUGAUAUUCAACAUGCUGCAAAAUUACCAGCCUUAAAACAACUUUUAAUGGACUGUGGUAUUGGAUUAGUCAGUAAUGAUGAAACUGUCAUAAGUCAACACAGAGCUUUAAUAUUUUGUCAACUUAAAUCCAUGUUAAAUAUCAUUGAAAAUGAUCUCUUUAAGGCUCAUAUGCCAAAUGUAAGUUACCUUCGUCUUGAUGGUAGUGUGCCUGUUUCACAACGAUAUUCACUUGUUAAUCGUUUUAAUGCUGACCCGUCCAUUGAUACUCUUAUAAUGACCACUCAAGUGGGAGGAUUGGGUCUAAAUUUAACUGGAGCAGAUACUAACAUGAUUGGAGUCCUAUGAAAGAUCUACAAGCAAUGGAUCGAGCACAUCGUAUUGGUCAGAAAAAAGUAGUAAAUGUAUACCGUUUAAUUACAAGAUCAACGCUAGAAGAAAAAAUAAUGAACUUUCAAAAGUUUAAGCUGAAGACUGCUAACACAGUAAUAUCUUCUGAGAAUUCAAGUCUUCAAACAAUGGGAACUGAUAAA
rnacentral:misc_RNA from 1 species